rnacentral:rRNA from 1 species
UACGAAGGGUGCAAGCGUUACUCGGAAUCACUGGGCGUAAAGCGCACGUAGGCGGACUCGCAGGUCAAUUGUGAAAUACCUGGGCUCAACCCGGGAACUGCAGUUGAAACCGCUUGUCUUGAAUACCUGAGAGGGUGGGGGAAUACCUGGUGGAGAAGUGAAAUUCGUAGAGAUCAGGUGGAACACCGGAGGCGAAGGCGCCUGCCUGGCAGUGUAUUGACGCUGAGGUGCGAAAGUGCGGGGAGCAAACAGG